CAAAAGCAUCAAUUCUCCCUUUCUGGUAAGCGGCCUGAGCUGACCCUUGAAAAUGGUGCGCUAUUCACUCGACCCAGAAAACCCCACAAAAUCAUGCAAAUCAAGAGGUUCAAAUCUUCGUGUUCACUUUAAGAACACUCGUGAGACUGCCCAGGCCAUAAAGGGUAUGCAUAUCCAAAAAGCCACCAAGUAUCUGAAGGAUGUCACUUUAAAGAAGCAAUGUGUGCCAUUCCGUCGUUACAAUGGUGGAGUUGGUAGGUGUGCACAGGCCAAACAGUGGGGCUGGACGCAGGGUCGGUGGCCCAAAAAGAGCGCUGAAUUUUUACUACAUAUGCUCAAAAAUGCAGAGAGUAAUGCUGAACUUAAGGGCUUAGAUGUAGAUUCUCUGGUCAUUGAGCACAUCCAAGUGAACAAAGCCCCCAAGAUGCGGCGCAGGACUUACAGAGCUCACGGUCGGAUCAACCCCUACAUGAGCUCUCCCUGCCACAUUGAGAUGAUCCUUACUGAAAAAGAACAGAUUGUUCCUAAACCAGAAGAGGAGGUUGCACAGAAGAAAAAGAUAUCCCAGAAGAAACUGAAAAAACAAAAACUUAUGGCCCGGGAAUAAAUGCCGCAGAAAAUAAAUGCAAAUAAAAGUAAAAAAAAAAAA